UUGGCGUUUCUAGGGUUCAGCUUCACAUUUCUUUCUAUCGACAUCGGAUCCAUUGCUUUCCUCUUCUUGGAAUAAGUAUUCAUCUCUUUAUCCUCUGUUGUUGUUGUUGUUUGUUUGGUCGAUGAAACUUGGGACUGAACUGUUGCAGAGAUGACAUUGUCCUUUUCUGUUGUUGAUUGUCGGAUGGAUGCAGCUUGGGACUCAACUAUCUUAUCUAAAUUACAGAUGUCAUCAUCUGUGAGCGGCAAGUCCUCAUAGUCGAUUACUGGAGAUACGUGAUUCAGUGGUUGUUCAUCAUGUAUCACAGCCUUCACAAAAUAAAAUAACACAUGUUAUUCUCAGAUUUUAAACAAUAACAAAACGUUUACUACCCCUAGUAAUAGUUUGUCUGGGGUUUACUGCCUUGCAACACAGUUUCCCUAUUAAGUCUACUACCCCCUAAUGCACAAAUACUACAUUUUUCUAGCCCAAACCAAUCAAAAACAGAUUACACAGCCCAAACCAAUGUUUCCUAGUAAAAAUACAGUUAUACCCCAGCCUUAAUAACCGCUACCAACCCACUCCGAAUUCAAUUCCUUCAUCGACGCCACUCAAUUCAAUUCCUCCGAAUUCAACCCACUCCGCUUCGCUUCUUCAAUCCAUCGACGCCGCUUCGCUUCUUCAAUCCAUCGACGCCGCUGCCUCACUCCUCAUUCCAUCAAGACCUCAGCCUUCGCUUCUUCAAUCCAUCGCCGCUGCUUCAGUACAUCGUCGCCGCUGCUUCAGUACUUCAACGCCGCUGCUUCAGUACAUCGCCGCCGCUGUUUCACUACAUCGCGCUAAAUUCUUCUUUUUCAGGUGAAAAGAAACCCUAGCAUAAAUCUGUGUUUGUACCCCCAAUAAUGUUGUCUGGGUUCAUAUUUCUCUGCUUCAAUGUGUUUUAUGGCAAUGUAGAAACGGUGUGGCAACUUUACUACCCCUAGUAAAACUUUACUAGGGGUAGUAAACUUUAAUUUCUGUUUGCAUGUCAGUUAUUUUCCACUGUCUGGAUGUGUCUAAUGGCUGUGUUCAAUACUAGGGGUAGUAAA
rnacentral:lncRNA from 1 species